UACGUAGGGUGCAAGCGUUGUCCGGAAUUAUUGGGCGUAAAGGGCUCGUAGGCGGUCUGUCGCGUCGGCUGUGAAAACCCGCGGCUCAACUGCGGGCCUGCAGCCGAUACGGGCAGGCUAGAGUUCGGUAGGGGAGACUGGAAUUCCUGGUGUAGCGGUGAAAUGCGCAGAUAUCAGGAGGAACACCGGUGGCGAAGGCGGGUCUCUGGGCCGAUACUGACGCUGAGGAGCGAAAGCGUGGGGAGCGAACAGG
rnacentral:rRNA from 1 species